GACGAACGCUGGCGGCGUGCUUAACACAUGCAAGUCGAACGAUGAACCCGGAGCUUGCUCCGGUGGAUUAGUGGCGAACGGGUGAGUAACACGUGAGUAACCUGCCCUUGACUCUGGGAUAACUGCGGGAAACUGUAGCUAAUACCGGAUACGACCCUCGGCGGCAUCGCCAGGGGGUGGAAAGAAUUUCGGUCAAGGAUGGACUCGCGGCCUAUCAGCUAGUUGGUGAGGUAACGGCUCACCAAGGCGACGACGGGUAGCCGGCCUGAGAGGGUGACCGGCCACACUGGGACUGAGACACGGCCCAGACUCCUACGGGAGGCAGCGGUGGGAAUAUUGCACAAUGGGCGCAAGCCUGAUGCAGCAACGCCGCGUGAGGGAUGACGGCCUUCGGGUUGUAAACUUCUUUUUUCCGACCAUGAAGGUUGGAAGAAUAAGGAACUACUAACUACGUGCCAGCAGCCGCGGUAA
rnacentral:rRNA from 1 species